AAUGGGGGAAUACAAAUUGGGGCUGGAGGUGGCAUCUCUCCAGAUACGAGGAGUCCAAUGCAAAAGCUUCUCUUUAAGAAUGAAUAAUAAAAGGGUCAGAGGGGCUGCGUGCCUUCAACUUUCUUCAGAGACCCGGCAGAACAAAACUGGGACCCCCAAAUGGGACAAUUGUGAAGACUUUUAUGAAGAGCCAAUUCAAAGACAUGUGAGUGGAACAAAGAAGAACCAGUGAGGGCCAAUGAGUCAUCCCCAGGUUAGGAGCUGUGUGGGACCCAGAGGAGCUUGGGGAGAUAAUGGUCAUCAGAGCUCAGCUGGACCAGCAGGACAAGACCACUGCAGACAGCACAGUGGCAUCCAGUGAAGACUGCAGCCACUGUCAGCCCACGCCAAUGAGGAAGGAGAUGGGCAGACACCCAGUGCUCACCUUCCUCUGCCUUCUGAUCUCCUGCCAGUGCCUCCCAUGGGCUGAAAGCCCCAGAAACCAGACAGCAAAAGAGUCCAUGCUGUGCUCCAUGCAGGUCAGCCUGUCAGGCACAGGGCAGAGUGAACCAGACAGCAAGGCAGUCCAUGCUGUGCUCCAUGCAGGCCAGCCUCUCAGGCACAGGGCAGAGUGAACCAGACAGCAAGGCAGUCCAUGCUGUGCUCCAUGCAGGUCAGCCUCUCAGGCACAGGGCAGAGUGGAGAAGGCAUCUGGAGGCACAAAUGGGGAGUCCCCUCCAGAUGCCUCUGGGAAGCUGCAGUGAUUCCCUCUGGCGACGUGUGAGCGUUUCCAUUGCUCCACACCUCACAACACUCAACAUUAUUGCUGGCUUGACAGAUGCCUUCACAUUUUUCAACCUGAUUGGCAUGGCUACUGCCUCACUGUGCAGGUAAUUUUCCAUGUGUCCCUGAUCAUUCCUAAAAUUCCUCAUCCGUUCAGUCUCAUUGGCUCUCCCAGGGCCCUCUCUGAGCUUGCCUAUUCAUACCUUUUACCCAUUUUCCUUUUGGUAUUGAUACUUUUUCAUUCAUUUUUAAGAGGUCUCUACAUUUUCUCGAUACUACUUAGCCAUUCUUUUCAAUAUCAUCAAGUUACGGCACAGGUACCCAACAUUUUUGUAAGUUUCAAGAAAAAGACACAAAACCUAAUUUUCUCAAAUAAAGUGACAUUAUUCUUUUAA
ensembl:lncRNA novel transcript, antisense to TMEM132D